AAACCAACAGGGAUUGCCUCAGUAACGGCGAGUGAAGCGGCAAGAGCUCAAAUUUGAAAUCUGGCUCCUUCGGGGCCCGAGUUGUAAUUUGGAGAGGAUGCUUCGGGCGUGGCCCCUAUCUAAGUGCCCUGGAACGGGCCGUCAUAGAGGGUGAGAAUCCCGUCUGGGAUGGGUGGUCCCGCCCGUGUGAAGCUCCUUCGAAGAGUCGAGUUGUUUGGGAAUGCAGCUCUAAGAGGGUGGUAAAUUUCAUCUAAAGCUAAAUAUUGGCCGGAGACCGAUAGCGCACAAGUAGAGUGAUCGAAAGAUGAAAAGCACUUUGAAAAGAGAGUUAAACAGCACGUGAAAUUGUUGAAAGGGAAGCAUUGGCAACCAGACUUGCCUGGGGAGGCUCAGCCGGCACGUGUGCCGGUGCACUCCUCCCCGGCAGGCCAGCGUCGGUUUGGGCGGUCGGUCAAAGGCCCCGGGAACGUAGCACCCUUCGGGGUGCCUUAUAGCCCGGGGCGCCAUGCGACCUGCCCGGACCGAGGAACGCGCUUCGGCUCGGACGCUGGCGUAAUGGUUGUCAAUGGC
rnacentral:rRNA from 1 species